rnacentral:rRNA from 1 species
GAUGAACGCUGGCGGCGUGCCUAAUACAUGCAAGUCGAGCGAACAGACGAGGAGCUUGCUCCUCUGACGUUAGCGGCGGACGGGUGAGUAACACGUGGAUAACCUACCUAUAAGACUGGGAUAACUUCGGGAAACCGGAGCUAAUACCGGAUAAUAUAUUGAACCGCAUGGUUCAAUAGUGAAAGACGGUUUUGCUGUCACUUAUAGAUGGAUCCGCGCCGCAUUAGCUAGUUGGUAAGGUAACAGCUUACCAAGGCAACGAUGCGUAACCGACCGGAGAGGCGGAUCGGCCACCCGGGAACGGGGACGCGGUCCAGACGCCUACGGGAGGCAGCAGUAGGGAAUCGGCCGCAAUGGGGGAAAGCCUGACGGAGCAACGCCGCGUGAGUGAUGAAGGUCCUCGGAUCGUAAAAAUCUGUUAUUAGGGAAGAACAAAUGUGUAAGUAACUAUGCACGUCUUGACGGUACCUAAUCAGAAAGCCACGGCUAACUACGUG